CUGAAAUAGUGGAGAAGAUAUGAUAUUGCUAUGGGCUCGCUCUUGGCAAGUUGAACAUAUUUUGCCCAUGAAACUACAUGGACCCUAAGUAAGGUAUGUGUAAAAUUUGAAUGAAAUUGGUUGUGUAGUUCUCAAGUUUUAGGGAAUCGUAGUGUAGAAGAUAUGAUAUCGCUGUGGGCUCGCCCUAGACAAAAAGUUAAAAACUUUUUUUGCCGAUGACACUCCCCGGACCCUAAGUAAGGCAUGUGUAAAAUUUGAAUGAAAUUUGUUGUGUAGUUCUCAAGUUUUAGGGAAACACACAGACAGACAAACAGAUACACAUUCUCAGUUUUAUAUAUAUAUAUAUAUAUAUAUAUAUAUAUAUAUAUAUAUAUAUGAAUUUACAUGACGGUUUAAGCAUCGAUUAACUUGUUAUGUUAUCUCGUUCGAAAUACCAAUUUUCUAUGUACUGGAGGAAGAGAAAGCAGGAUAGAAAGAAAGAAAGAAAGAAAGAAAGAAAGAAAGAAAGAAAGAAAGAAAGAAAGAAAGAAAGAAAGAAAAAGGAAGCGGUAGUAAAAGAUAAUUUCUUCGUAUGACUAUAUAAAAGUAUUAUAGUAUACGUAUUUCUUAAGCAGAUAGCUUGUAAUACGUAUAGUAAGAUCUAGAAUCGAACCUAAAAUCCCCAGUGAACAGUUUGAUACCACGCGUUGAUCACGCUUAUGUCAUAUGAUCUGUCUUGAUCAUCAGCCAAUCGAUUUGCAGUAAUAUUAUGCUAUAUCCUGAAUACCACCCAUAUUGUCUUUGAAGUACUCACGUUUUCUCUAGUUAUUUAAGCAGAAGAACAAGAAGCCAGAGGCGGUUUAAAUUUCAUUGAAGUCACAUCUGCAUUCUCAACAGGAAAGCACAUUGCAGAAUAUACGAGUCUUAAUGAAGCACUUAGUCUUUGCAGCGCCUACUUUCCUGUGCUGAAUUCCAGCUAGAAAAGAAAGGAAUUCUUCAUGAUCACAAACCAACAUUCUCCAACUGCACGAAUCUUAUUAGCCAUUACUACACCCGAUUCUAAUCUCCUACAUUCUCUACCAACAGUCUUUAGUUUAUAUUCAAUUGUUCUCUGAUUCAAUAAAUAUUAUAAUUAAAAUAUAUUGUUUGCAUCUGUUCAUCCUGUAUGCAUAACACGCAGCCCAGUUAACAUCCCACAAUAGUAAAAUGCUCAUGAUAAUCAAACCAGGGAGAACGUUGACAUCUAGAAGCCAACUUAUAUUACAUUACUGUAAAAAAAAUUCUGCUUAUUUCUCUUUUGAUACACUGAUUUUACAGUGAAUUGCCUCUUAACAAUAGAGUGAGAAUCAUUUCACAAAUAUGUUAUCAAAUUUAGAAGAGGAUAAUCUUUCAUUGUGUUGACUGACAUCAUUUAUUUAUCAACACGUAAAGGCAGUUCUCCAACAUGGACUUGAACAGAAUACCGAAAAGAACAUGAUACUUAUUCAACUCCUGGGUUUUUUUUUUUGGUUUUUUUUGUGAAUGUUUUACACACUAAAUAUAUUUAUACCCACGUAAUUACUACUUAUCUUGGGAAGAGAGAACUUAGCAGGCAGAAACGGCACAGCACUGCACAAAUUCCUUUGUUACAUAUAGUUACUUCAAAUUCCACCAAUAUCAGAUUUGCUUUUGCCUUCCAAGUGGAAAAAAUAUAGUGCUAGUCAAUUUCUGGGUUUUAUAUUCUUCACCCACAAGAUUAGUCGCCUGCUGUCGAUGACAGAAAUCCUUAUUUUGCGGAUAGGAUUUCAGAUUAUUUGAUACGGCAGAAAUUGUAUUCACCUCAAUAGACGUCAUUGAUUGGUUGAAAUUGCCGAAAUGCAAGAAAUUAAACAAUAGCUUACAAACUACAGAAUUUUCUUACGAAAUCCAAGAGAAAAAGAUGUUUUGUGUAACACACUACCAGUAUACGAAGUUUAAAAGUGUUUAGUUACAAAGAAAUUAUUUUAAAAAUCUGCCGGUCAAAGCGAAAAGAUCCAAGAUGUACUUUGAGACAUUAAUAAUCAAGCAAUUAUCGUUUCAUAUGUCCACAUUUUUAUAUUAAAUAUGUGGGGAAAGAAAGAGUUAUGGUUUCAAUUCGACAUUGGUGAUAUAUUGUAAUCAUGGUCAAGAUACUUCCUAACUGUAAGCAGUUAUUGUGGUAUGAUACAGUUUCGGUAAAUACACUUAAUGUAUGAAGAGUAUUUCGUUAGUUUAGAGUUCAUACGAAUAUGUUGAAGGAGAUCUCCUCUACAUAACUUUUACUAAAUUCACCACUUUUACAAACUGGUUGAUCAUACACGCACUCUACAUACACUUUCGUUUUCCUUACUAGCUUCAAUUUGUAGGAAUUCAAGACCAACAUCAAUUGCAUCGAUCUACAAGGGAUGCCAUAAGUCAUGAGCACUGCUUUGCAGUCUACGAGUAGUAUUCAAAAGGAAAUAAACAUUUUUGCCUAUAUGUAUAUAUUACUAGCAGAGAUACCCAGCCUUGCUCGGGAUUAAAAUGGCAUAGUUUGAGUACAUAUUACAGUUCUGUUGGAACAGGUGAUACGGGAAAGUGCAGCAUUGACGACAAAACAUUAGUGGAGAAAAUAAUGGGCUAAUUCGACUAAGCGACAGGUCAUGCAUCCGUUUGGAGUAUUCCAGGCCCUAGCUUCUCGUGGAAAAUUGGGGGGGGGGUUUAGUGCAUGCCUUUGCUGAUGUUGGAAAAGUCUCAUCUCCCUUCUCUCUUGAGACUUCAUUUGACGUACUGCAGCAUGAGUGCCGAUCUUGGGAAAGUUUCACCUCCCUUUUCUAUUGAGGCUCCAUUAAUUUAAGGGUAAAUUUGUAAUUGUAAAUACCUUGCAACCUUGCAACUGCUGCGAUAAUGACUAACUGGUAAUUGAACGGUAAAUGUGUAUUUUUAUAUGCCUUGAACCUGCCACCUAAUUGUUUUUUGUCAAGAGUUUCACUUCCAGCCGUUCAUUAUGUCAGUCAACACAUACACUGACACACCAUUCCGCUGUCAUGACGGAAAGUUGCUGAUGCAUAAUGUUGUUCACAUUUGGAUAUAAAUUAUUCAUUUAUUUAUCGCAGCAGAAUAACAGUGAAAGAAUAAAAGUGUAACAAUAUAAUAUAACAUUACACUAUAGAUCUUAUUCUUUCACUUUUGACACGUAAUACUAAAUCAGUGCCAAUGUUAUAUUGUUUUAAUCCAAAUGAAAAAAAAGUACACGUUGUGAUACUCACGGGGUUUGAUUCUAUUACCUUGUAAAAUUUGAUUUGAUUUGGUCGAGCCAUUUGGGAAUGCAUAGGGAACAGGCAGACAGACAAACAAAGAAUUUUAUAUAUGUAGACAAGGAAGUCAAUUUAUAGAGAGAACUUACAAACCUUGUUUGAGCGUAUAAAGCUCUAGAAGAAAUAAGCUUGAGUGAAAAAACUUGAACCGCUUUAGGAUAGCUUUUUCUAACGCAUGACCGCUCAGAAGUGUAAUUGAAAUCUCAUUGAUUAGUAAUAAAGGUUUUGUAAAUAAUUUUCAGUUCCUUUUUUGAUCAUUCCAAGUGUUUCUGCAAUCACUGGUAUUGUAACCGUCUUGAGAUGCCACAUCUUUUCGAUUUCGAUUAGCAGAUCUUUAUAUUUUCCGAACUUACAAAAUUCUUUUGCAGAGACGUUAUGGUCACAGGGUGACGAUGUGCCGGUAUAUUAGAGAAAACCAGGAUUAGGCACCCCAACACCCUUAGGCACAUUGAUCGACGCAAACUCAAAGCUGAAACAAAAAAAAUGGAUUCGACUCUUGGGCUACUCCAGACGAAAAAUAUAACUGAAACUAACAAGAUUAUUUGGGUUGCAGCUAUGGUUACUGCAGAUAAAGUUGGAUACAAAAGAAAAGAACAAACAGAACGUAAAAAACUAUUCUGGCGUAGACGAAUUUGUGAGAAACAAAAAAAGUUAAAAAGACAUUUAGGACAAGUUGAUAGAUUGAGAAGAGGGGAAUUGAAGAACGAAAGCAUAAGAAAAAUGCUGAAAUGAACAUAUAGAAUAAGAGAUAAAGGUUAUGAUAUGAUAUUGGAAGAAUUGAAACAAAGAGUAGUAGCAAUCAAAGCAAAACUGGAAAGAUAUGACAAUAGAAAAAGACACUUCAGGAAAAACAGAUUGUUUGAAACAAAUCAGAAGAAACUGUUUCAGGAACUAGAUGGGCAAAUACGCAUAACAAUGAUACUAGUUGCAGAGGAAAGCAAAGCAUUCUGGAGAGGGAUCUGGGACCAACCUGUAAAACAUAAUGAUGAAGCGGAGUGGCUACAUGAAAUCCAAGAUAGGUUAAGAAAUAUAGAAGUCCAAGAAGACAUAAAGAUAACUACAGAAAUGAUAAAAAAAGCAGUUAAGAAAAUCCCAAAAUUGGACGAGCCCAGGACCGGAUGAGGACAAAGGUUAUUGGAUGAAGAAACUGAGAGGACUCCCUGAAAGGAUAGCAAGAUGAAUGCUUGCAUGAAGGUGCAGUACCCAGCUGUAUGGCAAAGGGAAAGACAUCGUUAUGUGCCAAGGAUCCUGAAGAGGAAAUGUUGCAUCCAGCUUUAGACCAAUGACAUGCCUUCCCCUAAUGUGGAAACUAACGUCAGGUGCUUUGGGCGAUGAACUGUACAGAUACUUGGAAAAAAGUGGGCUGCUACCCAUUGAACAUAAAGGGUGCCGAAAAGGGAACCGGGGAACGAGGGAUCAGCUCUUAAUUGAUAAUCUAAUUAUUGGGAACUGCAAGAGAAGAUAUACACACCUGAGCAUGGUAUGGGUUGACUAUCGCAGAGCAUACGAUAUGAUACCUCACUCCUGGAUAAUAAGAACAAUGGAAAUAUAUGGAAUAGCAGAAAAUAUGAGAAGCCUUAUAUAGAAUAGCGUGAAAUGCUGGAGAACGGAAUUGACAGAAGGGAAGCAAGUACUAGGAGAGGUGAAAAUGAAGAGAGGAAUCUUCCAGGAGGAUAGUGUGUCCGCACUGAUAUUCGUACUGGGAAUGAUCCCCUUUAGUGAAAUACUACAGAAAACAAAGUUGGGGUAUGAUCCGGGAAGAGAUAAGGGAAAACUUAAUCUCUUGCUAUUUAUGAACGACCUGAAGCUAUUCACAAAAAAACUGAGGCAGAACUGAUCAGCUUAGUCCAGUCUGUGCAGAAUUUCUCCAAUGAUAUUAAGAUGGAGUUUGAACUCUCAAAAUGUGCUGCAAAAAGGAUAUGAAGAAGAAUUACGCAGUCAAUUCCAUGUAGCCAGAACAGAAGUCGCUGGAAAAAAUAGGUAAGAUUGGCUGAUGAAAAGAACACCAAAAAAAAAAUAAAUAAAUAACUGGGAGUACUAUACUGGCAACGCAAGACCAAGCUUUGGCCACGAACUGGAGGGUCAACCUAAGGAAUGAGCAAGUGUCUCCGCGAUGCUGCAUCUGCAAUAGAUGAAACCAUUGAUGAAACCAUUGCCCAUAUCACGAACGAAUAGCCUAGACUAACUUAAAACCACUACAAGUUGUGACGACGCGACCAGGUGCACGACAGUGCUGUGUUAGAAACUGUGCGAAAGUGGGGGCUAGAGAGAGUAAGACGUGGUAUGAGAACAGACCACAGAGAGUGACGGAGUCGGAGACAAGCAAAAUUCUCAGGGAUUUCCCAAUCCAAACAUAUCAGGUGCUAGAGCAUAACAGGCCGGACCUAGUGGUAGUGGACAAGGUGCACCACAUAAGCUAUAUAGUUGAUGUUGCAUGCUCCUUUGAUCCACGAAAAUCAAGAAGGAAGGCGAAAAGAUAGAUAGAUACAAUCCUCUUAAGUACGAAAUAGCCCGGCUAGAGAAAAUGAAGAAGGUGAAGAUAGCGCUAAUUAUUGUUGGGUUCUUGGGAAUAGUAUCAGGAGGCAUCAAGAGGAAUAUAAAGGAAAUUUGAAUAGAGUGUCCAGUAGAACUGUUACAAAAGGUUUGCCUCCUUGGCACGGCCAGAAUAAUCAGGAAAGUAUCAGAUAGCUGAAAGAACAGAUGGCUUGGUACGGUAGGUUGCAGGUAGUAAGCCUACUACGCAUGCAAGACUCCAGGAGCUCCAACAAAACAAGUGAUUAAAAGAAAUAUAGUUUUUUUAAUAGAAAGUGGCAUAUUCCCUAAUGAGCAAAAAUGAUGCAAACGUGAGUCCUAUGGUUGUAAAGAUCAACUACUCAUCAAUAAGAUUAUUUGGAAGAUUGUCACAAACGACACAAAAACUUGUCGAUAGCCUGAAUAGACUAUAAAAAAUCUUUUGAUAGUCUACCACAUAGAUGGAUUAAGAAAUUCCUGGAAAUGUAUAAAAUAGCACCUACUCUGCGAAACUUCUCGUCUGUAAGUAUGAGAUCAUGGAGAACCACACUGACUUGGAACAGUGACAAUGAACUUUUCAAUGCUGGAGAUGUAAGAAUUUCACGUGACAUUUUCCAGGGUGACUCUCUAUCACCACUUCUUUUUGGUUUAGCCUUAAUGCUUCUCUCAAAAUUGCUCGAUAAUGUACAAUAUGGCUAUAAAAUGUUUGAUAAGAAUAUAAAUCAUCUCUUUUACAUGGAUGAUCAAAAGCCUUUUGCAAAAAAUUACCAACAUCUGCAGAGUUUACUAGCGAUUGUUAAACAAUUUAGUGAUGACAAAUGUGCAAAAGCUAUAUUUAUCAAAAGGAAAAUGACAGAAAGAUCCAAAGUUAAUCUUGACCGGCCACAUGUUAUAAAGGAGUUAGAACGAGCGGAGAGCUACAAAUACCUAGGGGAUUUGAAGGGGACGAAAUCAAACGUUCAGUGAUGAGGGAAAGGAUUAGAAGAGAAUGUUAUCACAGGGUAAAGGCAAUACUCAAGACAGAGCUGAGUGCAUGAAGCAGGAUCGAAGCGAUCAAUACUUUAGUCAUACCGGUGGUGACUUACUGUUUCAAUUUCAUUAACUGUAAUCUUGACAGAAAAAUAUGAAAAUUGUUGACAAUGAUAGACUGCACCACCCUAAGGCAGAUAUAGAACGACUUUACCUGCCAAGAAAAGAGGCUGGCCGUGGACUUUUACAACUGGAAUUAACAAUGAAGAUUGCCACAAUUGACCUACAUAUCUACCUGAAAAACUAUGAUGGCGGGAUGUAACAUCAUACUCAGUAACAAAAACAGGCAAAGGAAUAUCUAAGUGAAUUCCAAAUACAAUAAAUUCCAGUAUUAGACGUACUAGAAACAAGCACAGAAAAUGCUAAGCGUAUGAAAACCCUUGCUAAAACUGCUGCCUUAGAUAUUCUUACUGAUAAAUGGCAAGAAAAACCUCUCAAUGGCAAAUACCCAAAGAGAGCAAAUAGUGCCGAUGUUGACAAAGCCCCUACCCAUCAAUGGUAAAUGUGUUCAGGCUUAAAACCAGAAAGAGAAGGGUUUAUCAUAGCAGCCCAAGAGCGAUGCCUACCUACAAAUAACUACCAACGUAUUAAAGAACGGCAGUAGUCCAACAUGUUGUGUAUGUCAACAACAAAAUGAAACCAUUGAUCAUGUUGUCUCAAUGUGUAGUCUUCUUGCGCCUACAGAGUAUCUCAACAGGCGUGAUAGAGCAGAACAACACUGGGUAAAAUGCAAAAACCUGAACCUGCCCCAUGAGAAAAUCUGGUGGGAACACAAACCACUUCCAGUGCUUGAAAAUGAUCACAUCUCACUCCUCUGGAACUUCACCAUUCAAACUGACAGAAAGAUAGAUGCAAAUAAGCCAGACAUCAUAUUGAAAGACUUCAGACAAAAAUCAUGCUUCCUCAUUGAUAUGACUGUCCCAAUCGACGUAAAUGUAUCUGUCAAGAUCUACCAAAAACUGAGAAAGUAAAAAGAUCUUGAAACUGGCAAAAUGUGGAACCUCAAGACUAAAACAAUACCAGUUGUCAUAGGUACCCUAGGAAAGAUAGCAAAAGGAGCUGAUUGCUACCUAGCUCAGAUAUCAGGAAACCCCAAAAUGGCAGAAAUUGAAAAGAUUGUGCUCAUGGGAACUGCCCAUAUCCUACGUAAAAAUACUGUUUAUGUAAUCUCAAAUUUUAAAACAAACUCAUAUUUUUCUUAUGUAUUCUUAAACAUUCUUUAGAGCAAUACUUUGUGCAAAACGAAAUAUAUGACACCCUAGGCAUAACACCAUUAUGAACUUCUAACUUGUUGUCUCUUGAGGCCUCUGGGUGAGACUUGGAGUCAACUUGUACAAAUUCAAAGCAAAAGUCAAACAUAUAAUAAUAAUGAUAAUAAUAAUAAUAAUAAUAAUAAUAAUAAUAAUAAUAAUAAUAAUAAUAAUAAUAAUAAUAAUAAUAAUGGGCUACAGCAAAUAUUCUGCUCAAUACCACAGAUUUGCUUGUCAGUUGUUUGACCUUAACCAGUUGAGCAUGUCCCUUAGUGGCUGACGAUAUGUGCAUCUCUGAUCACGAGCAGAAGUAGUGGGGGAGCAUCAUAGCCAUGUGUUGAGAAGGAUUCUUUGGGGUUUGAAUAAUUCACCUCUGGAAACAUGGGUGUUUCGUUCAACAUCCUUAAACAACCCUUAUUCAGGGACCUUUUGAGCGGGAUGGGUUACUCGAUCUGAAGAAAAUUCUAACUGGGCUCCACCUGCAAGGUCAUGUGCUGUUUAUCUUGAUAUGAGAUCACCAUGUCGCGCACAUAUGGUUGUGAUGCAUGUGCCUGGUGUACCCUUAUCAGACGGGUAGUCAUGAUGGGUAUACUGGGCUUCGUAUAUUUUACCCCAGUGUCACUUCGAUGGCAUGCUCUGCUCGCUCACUCAAUAAUAAUAAUAAUAAUAAUAAUAAUAAUAAUAAUAAUAAUAAUAAUAAUAAUAAUAAUAAUAAUAAUAAUGUAAUCUCAAGGUUUAAAACAAACAUAAUUUUCGGUUUAAAAAAAAAAAAAAAAACCCAUUUUUUUUUAGACAUUCAUUAGUACAACAUCCCCACCCCCCAAAUAUAUGGCACACUAGGCAUAACAACAACAUGAACUUCCAACCCAGUUGUCUCUUGAGGUCUCUGGGUGAGACUUGGAGCCAACUUGUACAAAUAUAAAGCAAAAGUCAAACAUAUAAUAAUAAUAAUAAUAAUAAUAAUAAUAAUAAUAAUAAUAAUAAUAAUAAUAAUAAUAAUAAUAAUAAAUGCCCUGAUGCAGUACCAGGCAGUGGCUCUCAUGGCUUCUGAUCUUAACUGAUUGGAAGUGUUAUCAUGUACAUAGUUUUGUCUUGGUAUAAAAGAUGGGCUACAGCAAAUAUUCUGCUCAAUACCACAGUUUUGCUUGUCAGUUGUUUGACCUUAACCAGUUGACCAUGUCCCUUAGUGGCUGACGAUAUGUGCAUUUCUGAUCACGAGCAGAAGUAGUUGGGGAGCAUCAUAGCCAUGUGUUGAGGAGGAUUCUUUGGGGUUUGAAUAAUUCACCUCUGGAAACAUGGGUGUUUCGUUCAACGUCCUUAAACAACCCUUAUUCAAGGACCUUUUGAGCGGGAUGGGUUACUCGAUCUGAAGAAAAUUCUAACUGGGCUCCACCUACAAGGUCAUGUGCUGUUUAUCUUGAUAUGAGAUCACCAUGUCGCGCACAUAUGGUUGUGAUGCAUGUGCCUGGUGUACCCUUGUCAGACGGGUAGUCAUGAUGGGUAUACUGGGCUUCGUAUAUUUUACCCCAGUGUCACUUUGAUGGCAUGCUCUGCUCGCUCACUCAAUAAAAAUAAUAAUAAUAAUAAUAAUAAUAAUAAUAAUAAUAAUAAUAAUAAUAAUAAUAAUAAUAAUAAUAAUAAUAAUAAUAAUAACAACAACAACAACAACAAUAAUAAUAAUAAUAACAACAGCAACAACAACAACAAUAAUAAUAAUAAUUAGUGAUUGUGUCACUAAUAAAAACACUGGUAAUUGCGCAGCCUGAUAAUCAUUACCUCAUAUGAGUGACAAUGAAAAAACAAAAUAUUGAGAAUAACGGUGGUAAUGAAACUGAAGUCAUUGAUGGUGACAGUGUUGCACCCGGCAGGCUCAGAGGGCGGAGCACUUGCAGAAAACAGCACUGCUUGGAACCAUUCGAAUACUCCGGAUGCUCAAAAGAUAAGAGGUGUUACCUUAAUUCACUGGUAGUGAACAGCUGACACCGUAGUACAUCUCCAGCGUUAGAAGCUGUGCAAACGCAAUAAUAAUAAUAAUAAUAAUAAUAAUAAUAAUAAUAAUAAUAAUAAUAAUAAUAACAACAACAACAACAACAAUAACAAUAAUACUGAUUUCUUUAUUAACCACAAGGGUUUACAUUAAGAAAAAUAUUAUGGACAGCAUAGGACAAAACAAAGAAUGUGUGUGUGCGUGUGUGUGUGUUAGUGUGUGUUAGUGGAUGUUGUUGUGAGGGUUUUGUGUGUAAACAAGAAUAACAACAUUUAAAAGGAAAAAAGAAAGAAAAUCAACAAUGUAAUCCUCAAUAGGGAGGAGAGUUUUGAGGGCUGCUCAUGGAAAAACCCCAUAAAAAUACCAUUCUACUAAAGACACAACGCCUGAAAUUUUGGUGGAGGGGUAACUCGAUCACAUCGACCCCAGUGCACAACUGGUACUUAAUUUAUCGACCCCGAAACGAUAAAAGGCAAAGCUGACCUCGGCGACGGACGAAAUGCCGCUAAGCAUUUCACCCAGUGUGCUAAUGAAUCUGCUAGUUCGCCGCCUUAACAAUGAUGAUGAUGAUGAUGACGACGACGACGACAACGAUGAUGGAGGAGAAGGAGGAGGGGGUGAAGGAGGAGGAUGUGGUGGGGCAUGGAGGAGGAGAUGGAGAAGAAGAAGAAGAAGAAGAAGAAGAAGAAGAAGAAGAAGAAGAAGAAGGAGGAGAAGAAGAAGAAGAAGAAGAAGAAGAAGAAGAAGAAGAAGAAGAAGAAGAAGAAGAAGAAGAAGAAGAAGAAGAAGAAGAAGAAGAAGAAAAUCUCCUGCUGAGAGAUGAGAUUCUUUUUCUUCUGCCCAAGAAGUAAAAAAGAAGCCAAAAAUCAAGGAGAAAAGCAACUAAGUACAAAAUGGGAAGAAAGGGCAAUGCGUGGAAAAUAUGCGAAAAGAAUAAGAUACACAGAUGGCUCAGAGCAACAAGCCCUAAGCGAGAAACAGACGGUCUCAUCAUUACUGCAAAAGACCAGUGCCUUCGAACAAAGUCCGACCAACAUAGAAUAAUAAAAAUGGCAUCGACCUUCAAUGCAAUAUAUGUAGCAAGUUCUAAGAAACAAUUGAACAACUUGCUUCUGAUUACCCAGAACUUAAGAUGAAAUACAUCCAACAAAGCAGCAGUACACAAAGUCUGUAAAGAAUAUAACACCGAGAAAUGGUGUAACCAUCAGGUAAAAACAAUCAUGAAAAAUAGAACGCCACCAUACUAUUGGAUAUACCUUUUCGUACAGACCGGGAAAUUACAGCAAAACGUCUGGACACUAUUAUCAAUGAUAAGAAGGAAAAGAACUGCCUAAUAAUAGAAGUGGAAAUACCAUCAGAGAGAAAUACAACCACAAAAGUACCGAUAAUUAUCAAAAUACAAAAGUUUAGAAAUAGAAAUAAACCGGAUGUGGACAAUGGACACUGUAAUACUACCUAUCGUUUAUUGGUCUUUUAUGCUUGUGAAAAAGAACUGAACAAAUUCACUAAAACAUUGCUUGGUAUCGUCAACAACUAUGAACACGAGGGAACAGCCCACAUUGAUUAGAUUCCUGCUCUAUAAGGAAACAGCAAUUACCCAAAUUACAAGAAAAAGAAAUAUUUCUGCUCAGUUAAAGAACUUCCAAUCAUAGAAUUUUAAAAUAUUUCUUCUUGCAUGAUAACUAGGUUGUUGCUGUUACCCUGCUGUUAUCAAAUCCUGAUCAAAUGGGCAUUUGGUCAAAAGAAUUCUCCAUCUGUUUUCAGGAUUCUGAAUUUCGUAUUACAAUAUUCAAUGUCGUCUUAGACAAUUUUGACACUAGAGUGAGAUUUGAGAGAAAUUUUGCUGCUACUUCAUGCUAGAAGUAACAAUGUAGAAGGUGCCUUGUUAACUGUAAGACAUCUGGUUGAUACUAGCAGUUGAAUUCAAGUUACGUUCAAAGUGAUGUUACUCAUAUUUACUGAGAAACACAAGAAGUGAUACAGUAUUUUCAUAAAAGGAAACGCACUUAAAAGACUUUUACUGAAGUAGCACUUUAGUGAGUUCUGCAACUCAUUCCUAGAGAACAUAUAUUUCCUUCGCUGGAACCCAAUUAAUGAAUCAUCAUACCAUUAAAACCAAAAUGACAAAUUCUCAGAGAAACAUAUACAUAAAUAAAGACGCUUACACGCGUCUGUGUGUUUGUGGGGGAUGGGCUGCAUCAACCUGCAAAUUACGCACAUAUUUGUGUAAUCACGCCUUGCCAAACAUAAGCUUCUAUUAUAUGUAUUUAUGUAUGAAUGUGUGUGCGUGUAUAUAUAUAUAUAUAUAUGUAUUAUAUAUUACAGUACUAUAUUUAAGAGAUGAGGAAUUAUGUACAUUAUCUACAAUUGACGGAUAAUUACCUGAUAAUGCCCGUGGGCAUAUGGCGUAGUGGUUAAGAGCACAGGCUACUAACCCCAAGAUUCCGAGUU
rnacentral:lncRNA from 1 species